UACGUAGGUGACAAGCGUUAUCCGGAAUUAUUGGGCGUAAAGAGUGAGCAGGCGGUUGUCUAAGUCCGAAGUCAAAUGCUGUGGCUUAACCACAGUUCGCUUCAGAAACUAGUCGACUAGAGUGCGAGAGAAGUUUGUGGAAUUCCAUGUGUAGCGGUGAAAUGCGUAGAUAUAUGGAGGAACACCAGUGGCGAAGGCGGCAAACUAGCUCGUAACUGACGCUCAUUCACGAAAGCGUGGGUAGCAAAUAGGAUUAGAUACCCUAGUAGUCCACGCCGUAAACUAUGAGAGCUAAGUGUUGGAGAAAUCCAGUGCUGAAGUUAACACAUUAAGCUCUCCGCCUGGGGAGUACGUUCGCAAGAAUGAA
rnacentral:rRNA from 1 species